UACGGGGGGGCGAAGCGUUAUCCGGAAUUAUUGGGCGUAAAGAGCUCGUAGGCGGUUUGUCGCGUCUGCCGUGAAAGUCCGGGGCUCAACUCCGGAUCUGCGGUGGGUACGGGCAGACUAGAGUGAUGUAGGGGAGACUGGAAUUCCUGGUGUAGCGGUGAAAUGCGCAGAUAUCAGGAGGAACACCGAUGGCGAAGGCAGGUCUCUGGGCAUUAACUGACGCUGAGGAGCGAAAGCAUGGGGAGCGAACAGG
rnacentral:rRNA from 1 species